CUGUUUUGCAGUGGGACUUCUUUUUCCCCCUAUAUAUAAGCUGAACUCAAACAUAGGCAAUUCUGGCAACAUAUUUUAACUUGAUUUUAAAAAGUUUUUUCUUCAUAUAUCAAACUUUGAAAAUAUCUGAUCCAAAGACUAUUGAGAAUGAUAAAAAAUAACUGGACUUGUUUUUGUUCUAGCAAGAAAACGCAAACAUCGGAAUUAGCUUAUUCCUUCAUUUUCAGGUUGAAUUAAAGACCCUGAAAGUCUGAUGUAGUCUUGUAAAACUCCUUCUCAAAUAAAUGUCAGAUAAUUUGAGGUAGUGCAGCAAGAUGGUACCUGCCUUACCCAGGCAUCUAAUGUUCAAUGAAGCACUUUCCUGGAGGAAAACUGGAAUAAAGGUUGUCCUAUGAGAACAAAAAGAAAACAAAGACUGUUGAAAAAUAAAUCUCCAAAAUGAACAAGCACGAGCAUUGCCCAUUUCCUGGCAAAGA
rnacentral:lncRNA from 1 species